rnacentral:RNase_P_RNA from 1 species
AAAACAAGCUGGGCAGUCGCGUGCUACUAGGCACGAGGAAAGUCCGGACUCCAUAGAGCGAGGUAGCGGCUAACAGCCGUCCGUUCAGCAAUGGGCGAGGAAUAGGGCCACAGAGACGAGACUGCGGUGUGGGUAUAUUUAUAUACACUGAUACGGCGACUUCCGUAUGGCGUUACUUCGGUAACAGCACUGCAGGGUGAAACGCGGUAACCUCUAUCUGGAGCAACAUCAAAUAGGCAUACGCCAAGGGCUGCUCGUCCGAGUAUGCGGGUAGAUGGCUUGAGCCUGACAGCAAUGUCUGGCCUAGAGGAAUGAUUGCCGACGUAAUAGCGCAAGCAACUUACGUUUACAUAAUCCGGCUUAUAGGCUUGUUUUGUCU